rnacentral:lncRNA from 1 species
GGGUCAAAGAGCCCCUGGCAUGAAGCACCAAAGGUGUGAUUCUUGCCUCCAUUAGUUAAGUCUUUUGCUUUAAGGUAAUAGUGUUAGGUGUGUUCCUCCCAUUUUCCCUUAGGGAACCAUAAAUACCGCUUUCAAUUCUUUUUAGCUUACUCUUAAUCGAAGAAGAAAGAAAACUAACUUCACUGGAAAGAAGGCUGAAUGAAUGUAUUCUAUAAAUAUCUUCAUAAGACUCUACUUAGGGGGUAUCCAAAGACUUAUGAGGCAGUCUCAGGCAUAAGAUCCAUGGAGGGAUGCUUUGGAUUGGCCUCAUCAACACAGACUCACUCCUUGAGAAAACUGAUAUUGUCCUUCACCAUGGGCAGGGGCCAAGUGGAACCACAGCACACAAGAUGCUCAAAGGGGAGGAAAAACUUUACAGGAGGAGAGAUAUGACUUUCUGGAAGAAAUGUGGUCUCAGCUUGGCUACCAUCUACAGAGACUUUUCCCUCCAUGGUUCCCUGAACACCUAGGAACUGGCUGCAAGAGUUUCUCCAUGGAGGGCUCCUGAAGUUGGAAAUCUUAUUCAUUCUCUCUCUCUCUCUCUCUCUCUCAUUGAUCAAAGGAGUGGGUUAACCCCACCCACCCCAGGAUGUGGUGGCAGACACAUCUGUUCAGUCUGGCUUACUGCCAACAGGGGAUUUACUUUCUGGAGUGGAGGGGAGAGGAACUUUUAUGUAAGGAGGGGAUUUAUUGUUGGCUGACGGGGUGUGGCGAGGGUGAAGGGUGGGAACCACUUCAGUUUUGUGGCCGGAUUGUCUGCCUUUUUUUGUACUGCACAGUUUAAUCUUUGUAUGUGGUUUUCAGGACUUUUGUGAGGGGGGCAAGUGCUGAGUCAGUGAACUUUAACGAUGAACCCAAACACUUUUUGAGAAUAAACUAUAGACCCCAAGGAGCA